GAUGAACGCUGGCGGCGUGCUUAACACAUGCAAGUCGAACGUUGAGAGGUAGCAAUAUCUUGAAAGUGGCGAACGGUGAGUAACACGUAGGUAACCUGCCUCGGAGUGGGGAUAACAGUUAGAAAUGACUGCUAAUACCGCAUGAAUCCAUUGUUUGGGGACAAGUGAUGGAGAAAAACUCUGGUGCUUCGAGAGGGGCCUGCGGCCGAUUAGCUAGUUGGUGGGGUAAAGGCCUACCAAGGCGACGAUCGGUAGCUGGUCUGAGAGGACGAUCAGCCACACGGGAACUGAGACACGGUCCCGACUCCUAC
rnacentral:rRNA from 1 species